ACCAGUCCUCGCUCUGGUUAUCCUAUGAUUCGCCACCCAUGGACCUUGAUGCACCUCCAGAUGAAGGAUGCAACCAUUCUUCAAAGGUAUACAACACGACUAACCAGCAGUCUAAGCAAGGACCUACAAAACAAUCGGUGACAGGGAAGAGGUUAUCCUACAAAUGUGUCCCAGGAUCCAAAGGAGGUCAGACAAAGUUAGUGUUCAAAGGGAAGUAACUCUUUUUACAGACAUUCCUACAGGAUUUUUACAACAGUUCUUGAAAACUAUUUAUGCCUGUUAUUGUGAUAUACGUACCUUCUAGACCUGCAG